AGGUCCUGUUGGAGAAGCAGGGCACGUGCAACUCAGUUCUAGUUCUAGCUCUAUUAUAGCUGCUCUAGUUUAUCUGAUUUUGCACGUGCUCCCCUUCUCCAACACGAUU
rnacentral:pre_miRNA from 1 species